UAAUGUUUUUAAGUAAGUUGGUUGAAAUUUUUAUUACAUGAAAAUAAGUUCAUUGACAUCAUCUGUGCUUGAGGAUGAGGCAGCAACUUUUUGCACUGAUGAUGUCACCAGCAGCUAAAAAUACCCUCUCUGAUGCAUUACUGGUCCCUGGGACACAAAGAUGAUGAUUUGCAUCAGAUCGAAGGAUUCUUAUUCAGCCCUGCAGGAGUUUCAGAUUUGUAUCUUCGGACUUGAUCUUCAGCACUUAUUGCUGGAGUUUUUAGUCCCUGAACCUUUAUUGUUGGUAAACAGACUGUCCCAAGGAGAGACACCAAGCUGCUGGUUUUCUUGGGUUUCUUAGGCAAAGAGUAUCCUGAGAUCCUUUAUAAGCAUCAUUGCCAUAAUUAUCUUGCUAUUAAAUAGGACAAGGGAAACAAUAAUAUUGAACACACUUUAACUCUUAAAUUUAGUGAUAUUCUUUCUAUACAAUCUUUUAAUUUUCAGUGAACAUAUAUUUAUUAAAUAUAAACAUUUAAAAAAAUACUUACAUGACAUGAUGCAGUGGCAGCCUCAGUCUGCAUUCUGGAGAAAGUGUUGUUUGGGUCUGCAGCAGACGGGAAUGGAAGGGCCUUAAAGAGAGGAUCCAGUGCUGAUGUGUGUCUUUCUGUCCAUCAUAUCUUGAAAAACAAUAUGUAUGAGUGAAGAUAAAUACAUGAUGAAAAAAUUGUCAUUGGCUGGAAUAUAAAAAAUAUACAUAAAGAAUACCUUUUUCUAAAGAAUACCAACAGAAAACUGAUGUUCCCACAACGGUAGCUAGACAUCUCUGGAACUACAUUGGGGCCAUAAUGUUUGUCAGAAAGAGUUUAUUUAAAAAAAAAAAAAAAAA